rnacentral:rRNA from 1 species
UACGUAGGGUGCGAGCGUUAAUCGGAAUUACUGGGCGUAAAGCGUGCGCAGGCGGUUUUGUAAGCCAGAUGUGAAAUCCCCGGGCUUAACCUGGGAAUGGCAUUUGGGACUGCAAGGCUUGAGUGCGGCAGAGGAGACUGGAAUUCCUGGUGUAGCAGUGAAAUGCGUAGAUAUGCGGAGGAACACCGAUGGCGAAGGCAAUCCCCGUGGACCUGUACUGACGCUCAUG